AGUCACUGACAUUAGAUACCCGGGUAGUCCAGGGUGUAAACGCUGCAGACUUGGUGUUGGAGGCCCUUUGGGGGCAUUCAGUGCCGGAGAGAAGUUGUUAAGUCUGCUACUUGGGGAGUACGUCCGCAAGGAUGAAACUUAAAGGAGUUGGCGGGGGAGCACCGCAACGGGAGGAGCGUGCGGUUUAAUUGGAUUCAACACCGUAAAACUCACCAGGGAAGACUGUUACAUGAAGGCCGAGAUGAAGACUCUGCUAGAUUUUCAG
rnacentral:rRNA from 1 species